rnacentral:lncRNA from 1 species
GUUUUUGUUGAAGCAUAAAUUCUUUUGAGCCUAGGAAUCAAGGGAAAAUAACGCAAUACCUUUGCUGCUUUUUUCGUUAUAUGUGUAUUGGGCUGUUCAUCUAAUUCGUGUGUCUUUUUAUCCUUAUCUCUAUCUUUCUCUUCAGUUUUCCACCUAGAAGAGCCACACACAUGACAAGUUUCCUGGUCAACCCUCUCCUUCCAGUAGAGCAUACAAUCAUUCGGGCAACUGUGAAUUUUCUCAUAUCCAAGUCCCAAAUCAUUACAUAAUUUCUUAGCUUCAUAUACAGAAGUUGGUAAGGAGGUCAAAAAUGGAAAUACAUCCUUCAAAAACUCCAGCAACAUAGUGAAACCCUUGUUGGAAAGUCCUCCCAUGCAUUUGAUGUGAAUCAAGGUCAAGUUAAAGUAUAGCUGUGAGUACUUGCAAUUAGGAUACAAUUCUUUAUCACAUUCUGCUAGUAUUUUCUGAUAUCGUGAGGCGUCAACACCACAAAAAUUAUUUUCAUGGUGUUGUUCACUUGAAGAAAUAUUAGCAUGAAGACCUUCGACAUUCUCAGGGGCUUGACCGUCACUAAACUCACCAAUUUUAUGGUUUGAAUCUCCUCCUAAAUCAUUUCCUAAUGCAGCAUGUAUCAUAUCCCUAAUUGUAUCACUCUUACUUGGGACAUCUCUGUGAACAGUAGUUGUUUGAGCCGCUAGUUUUCUUAUGUAAGAAGUGUCAUAUUCCGACGAUACAUGUUCUCCGUGAAAAUUCCAAGUAGUAUAUCCCGGACAAAAACCAUUGAAUAAUAUGUGAUGAAGAACAUUUUCAGUUGAAAACCUUUUGCCAUUACAACACUUCAAGCAGGGGCAAAGUAUAGUUUCUUGAGCUUCCAUGGCAAAUUGUAUGAAUGACUCACAUCCACUCUUAUAAACAUCACUAACCCUUGGCGCAUUAAUCCAACUCUUGUCCAUUUCAAAACUAACAAGCUAAAAACAAAGAAAUUGUAUAAUUUCGAGCUUAAUUUUGUAGAACUAUAAAUCAACAAAAAAUUCAUAUACAAUUGCAGCAAAACAAAAGAAAAGGACAACCUAAAAUCCCCAUUCAAAAUUUAAAUUGAAAGUUUCAUUUGCAGUCGAGUUUGCUUAAUUAACCAGAAAUUCCAAUUCAAAAACUAGAAUCAAACAAUUUCACAAAAAUCAUAGAAAAUAGUCAAGGAAGGAGAUUGAGAAACUUACUACUUAGAAUGGCUACUGUGAGACUGGACUUCAAUUCGAAAGUAGAGCUUCAAUUACAAUGCACCAAAGCAGAGCUUCAAUAAAAUGAUAGAAUAAUGGUUAUAAAUAGAGAAAUUAUAUAUGAAAUUAGAGGAGAAAUGAAAAGGUCGCACCAAAAUUUUGAUCUCAAGCGGAGGAGAUCGCGAGGGAUGCUGCUACGACGAUGUCGGAGAGUUUUGAGCUCGGAUCAAUCUCUCUCUGGGGAUUAAAUUGAAGUUCGGAGCUCAGAGUUUGAGAUGAGAGAUUCAAAUCGGAGGAACUCAGGUGAAGGAAACCACAAAUUCACAAAUUCAAAUCGGAGGAGUUUGCUUGUUUUUCGAGUGUGAUGGUGAAUUGCUGGAACUAAGCUGAAGCUUUUUGUGCUCUCCAAUGUCACGCUGGAACUAACUUCAAUUAAGCAAAU